CACUGACCCGAGCCGGGCGCUGGUCGCGCGGCUUGGGGAGGGCUUGGUGUGGAGCUUUCUUGUUUUGUCCCGUCCCCUGUUUGGGUUUUUCCCGUCCAAACGCACGCCUCUCCUCACCGGCGCAGCACGGGUUACUUGUGAAAUUUGGACUCCAGAAAAGCAAACACCCUCUGCUAAAAGGAAGUUGCAGGUUGCAGUUUCACCACCUUUGGUGUGUUUCAGAAAUGUAAACAGUACAUGGCUGUUAUCAGUGUCUCAGCAAUAACCACUGACAACAUGGAUCCAGCUGAGAGCUGGGUAGACAGGCGAGGAAGAUGAUCUGUAGUGAGCGGCUGGAAACACCAGUCACAGAUGGUGCUCACUGAAUGCUUGCAAAUAUCUCACAAACUUUUACAACAUGGAAAUCCUGCACAUUAACAUUUUCACAUGUAAUUAGUGCAGAAUGGAGUGUGUGUGGAGGUGGAUGUG